AUUUCGUAGCUACCCUAUCGCCAUCAACAAGGUCCAUAAUAAAUAUUGGAAAUUUUAGGAAAAAUGGUGGCAAAAUGAAGCGACUAUAAAAAGGGGGAAAAUAGGAAAAUUGGCAACAUAGUGUUGCAAAAGAUCUAAGCAAGAAGACGGUCCAAAGUAGUUUUUAACACUAAAAAAAAGUGAAUAUUUAUAUGUGUGUUUACUUGUUAACAAAAAGUUCCCCAAAAUCACAAUAUUUUUUUUGGUCUCCACUGACUGCUGAGUGGGGAUCUGGUGUUAAAUGCCCGGUCCUUGGGUUUAAAUUGGCCGUUGAAUUUGAAGGUCUCCCUGUUUGGUGUCAUACUUCUGUUUGGUGUCCGUAUCUGAGGCAGCGGAAUUUGGGUCAAAAUUGAUCGGAUGGCCACAAGUUGGAGAUUUUUUUUUGAU